rnacentral:rRNA from 1 species
GACGAACGCUGGCGGCGUGCUUAACACAUGCAAGUCGAACGGGUCUGCCCUGUUUUUUGCGGGGUGGGUCAGUGGCGAACGGGUGAGUAACACGUGAGUAACCUGCCCCUCACUUCUGGAUAACCGCUUGAAAGGGUGGCUAAUACGGGGUGUUCUGGCUGUGCCGCAUGGUGUGGCUGGGAAAGAUUCACUUUUGUGGUGUUUUGGUGGGGGAUGGGCUCGCGGCCUAUCAGCUUGUUGGUGGGGUGAUGGCCUGCCAAGGCUUUGACGGGUAGCCGGCCUGAGAGGGUCGGCGGUCACACUGGGACUGAGAUACGGACCAGACUCCUGCGGGAGGCAGCAGUGGGGGGUAUUGCACAAUGGGCGGAAGCCUGAUGCAGCGACGUCGCGUGAGGGAUGGAGGCCUUCGGGUUGUGAACCUCUUUCGCCGGUGAAGAAGGUCCUGCUCUUUGUGGUGGGGUUGACGGUAGCCGGGUUAUGAAGCGCCGGCUAACUACGUG